AUUGAACGCUGGCGGCAGGCCUAACACAUGCAAGUCGAGCGGAUGAAGGUAGCUUGCUACCGGAUUCAGCGGCGGACGGGUGAGUAAUGCCUAGGAAUCUGCCCGAUAGUGGGGGAUAAC
rnacentral:rRNA from 1 species